UACAGAGGUCUCAAGCGUUGUUCGGAUUCAUUGGGCGUAAAGGGCGCGUAGGCGGCCAUUCAAGUCGGAGGUGAAAGCCCAGGGCUCAACCCUGGAAUUGCCUUCGAUACUGUCUGGCUAGAGACCGGAAGAGGUAAGUGGAACUGCGAGUGUAGAGGUGAAAUUCGUAGAUAUUCGCAAGAACACCAGUGGCGAAGGCGGCUUACUGGUCCGGUUCUGACGCUGAGGCGCGAAAGCGUGGGGAGCAACAGG
rnacentral:rRNA from 1 species